rnacentral:rRNA from 1 species
UACGCAGGUGGCAAGCGUUGUCCGGAAUUAUUGGGCGCAAAGCGCAUGUAGGCGGCGGUUUAAGACUGUCGUGAAACUGCGGGGCUCAGCCCCGUAUGGCGAUGGAAACUGGAUUGCUUGAGUGCAGGAGAGGUAAGGGGAACUCCCAGUGUAGCGGUGAAAUGCGCAGAUAUUGGGAAGAACACCGGUGGCGAAGGCGCCUUUCUGGACUGUGUCUGACGCUGAGAUGCGAAAGCCAGGGUAGCGAACG